GGCAGACGGGUGAGUAACAUGUGGGUAUCUGCCCUUUGGCCUGGAAUAACACGAGGAAACUUGUGCUAAUACCGGAUAAGUCUUUACGGAGAAAGCUUUAUGCACCAUUGGAUGAGCCCGCACUUGAUUAGUUUGUUGGUAGGGUAAUGGCCUACCAAGACUGUGAUCAAUAGCUGAUUUGAGAGGAUGAUCAGCCACAUUGGGACUGAGACACGGCCCAAACUCCUACGGGAGGCAGCAGUGGGGAAUCUUGCACAAUGGAGGAAACUCUGAUGCAGCGAUGCCGCGUGAGUGAAGAAGGCCCUUGGGUUGUAAAGCUCUUUCGUCGGGGAAGAAAAUGACUGUACCCGAAUAAGAAGGUCCGGCUAACUUCGUGCCAGCAGCUGCGGUAAUACGAAGGGACCUAGCGUAGUUCGGAAUUACUGGGCUUAAAAAGUUCGUAGGUGGUUGAAAAAGUCGGUGGUGAAAUCCCAGAGCUUAACUCUGGAACUGCCAUCAAAACUUUUCAGCUAGAGUUUGAUAGAGGAAAGCAGAAUUUCUAGUGUAGAGGUGAAAUUCGUAGAUAUUAGAAAGAAUACCAAUUGCGAAGGCAGCUUUCUGGAUCAUUACUGACACUGAGGAACGAAAGCAUUGGGUAGCGAAGAGGAUUAGAUACC
rnacentral:rRNA from 1 species